rnacentral:Y_RNA from 1 species
GGCUGGUUUGAGUGUAGAAGUAUUAACAAAUAAUUGAUCACAACAAGUUAAAGCUUUCUGUGUUCCUUCCCCACUGUUUCACUUGACUAGCCUCCC